rnacentral:rRNA from 1 species
UACAGAGGUCUCGAGCGUUAGGCGGAAUCACUGGGCUUAAAGCGUGUGUAGGCGGAUGCCUAAGUACCUUGUGAAAUCCCACGGCUCAACCGUGGAACUGCUUGGUAUACUGGGUGUCUUGAGCCACUUAGGGGCUACCGGAACAAAUGGUGGAGCGGUGAAAUGCGUAGAUAUCAGGAAGAACACCCGUGGCGAAGGCGGCAUCCUGGACCAACACUGACACUGAGGAGCGAAAGCCAGGGGAGCAAACGGG